GUUUGUGCAGAGAGAAAGCGCGAUAACUGCAGAGUGCUAAGUCUCUUCACUUCUUUUUCUUUUUUUGUUUUUUUUUUUUUUUUUUUGAGACAGGGUCUCACUCUGUCACCCAGGCUGGAGCACAGUGGUGCGAUCUUGGCUUACUGCAACCUCUGCCCCUCAGGGUUCAAGUGAUUCUCCCACCUCAGCCUCCCAAGUAGCUGGGACCAUACGCCCAGCUAAUUUUUUUUUUUUUUUUUUUUGUAGAUACAUUGUUUCACCAUGUUGCCGAGGCUGGUCUUGAACUCCUGAGUUCAAGCCCAUCUGCCCACCUCAGCCUCCCAAAGUACUUAGAUUGCAGGUGUGAGCCACAGCGCCCGGCCUCUUCCCUUAUAGGAUACAACUUUUUGUUCCUUUCCAAAUGCUCUGUUCUUGCAUAGCAGAGGGUGUGGCAGUGUCACAGCUGGGAAGUUUCUGCCAGUUCCCUCCACAUGGGAGUUUGCACAUGGCGCCCUGGCCUGACAUCACAGUGAUUUGCCUACAGGCACCCAGAAAUCCAAGAGCAGGCAGGAGGGAGGUGUGGAUGCAGUGUUAUCAGGCUUCAGGGCUUCUGUGUUUCUCCCUUUGCCCACACCACUAAAAUACAGGCUAGCUUCAAAAUCCCAUUCCAGAAACACAUCCUGAAUGAUUCACUUAUUCUUUCAACCAUAGAGAUGGAAAGAGAUGGGACUUGGUGCAGGUGCCUGGGUUUGAGAUGCAAAUUGCCAUUUCCUAGACAAGCUGCGUAAGCAGGAUCCAAAACGUUUUCACCAUCUAUAAAAUGGGGGAAUACCAAGCCCAUCUACAUCUCGAGUCAUCCUAAAACUCAAAAUAAAAAUGAAACCAUAUAUGUGCAACCAGUUAACAAAUCCUAAAAUUGAAAUGACCAUAAACCACUAUUUUGGAGAUGUGCAAGUGGCUGGAAAUUAUUCUAGAUAUGAAAGAAAGUGUGUCUUAAUAUGUUUAGAAGAUUCAGAAUUGUUUAAAAUGUCAAAAAGUUGGGGGCAGGGCACCAAGCGCGGCGGCUCACACCUGUAAUCUCAGCACUUUGAGAGGCCGAGGUGGGUGGAUCUGGAAGCCAGGAGUUUGAGAUCAUCCUUGGGUAAAUACAAAAUAAACAGAGGGUAUUUCUCUGCUGCUGUGCAACCUUACAGUUUACUUAUAAUUAAUUUUUUUUCCUUUUUUCUCCUUAUAAUUAAUUUUCCAUGCAGCUUUUCAAUUUUCUCUCACCAAGUUGUGUCAGUUUUGGAAAUCUAUUUCAAAAUUUUUCUAGAUAUAAAAAAAGAUGCUUAGAAGAUUCAGAAUUGUUUAAAAUGGCAAAAAAAAAAAAAGUGGGGGUUGGUGGUGCCAAGCAAGGUGGCUCACACCUAUAAUCCCAGCACUUUGGGAGGCCAAGGCAGGAGGAUCGCUUGAGCUCAGGAGUUCGAGACCAGCUUGGGCAACAUGGCAAAAACCUGUGUCUACAAAAUACAAAAUUAGCUGGGUGUGGCUGUGUGCACAUGUAGUCCCAGCUACUCAGGAGGCUGAGGUGGGAGGAUUGCUUGAGCCUGGGAGGCUGAGGCUGUACUCAGCCAUGACUGUGCCACUGCACUUUAGCCUGGGCAACAGAGUGAGGCCCUAUCUCAAAAAAUAAGCAAAUAAAUAAAAUAAAAUGGCAAAAAAAAAAACAAAAAGCAGAAACCAUCUGAAUUAUAUUCAGAGUCUAGAGUUUCCCAAGUAUAGUUGACCCUAGAACUUUUUAUUUGUAUUACAUCUGUUAACACCCACACUUCAGAAAACACAGGUUUUGCAGUUUAAUUUCUCAUAGAAUAUAAAGUUUAUAAAGGUAGGCACUGUGUCUUGUAUCCUGUUGUAGCCUCAGUGAAUAGAACAGCUGGCUACAUGUAAUAGCUGCUCAAUAAAUUGUGUUAAAUAAUGUGUUGAAUACUUUUCAUUAGGCUUAUUUGAAAAUAGUCUCUGAAAGUUUGCAGAGUAGAGUGAAACAAGGGUUUUCAUGUGCUGCUACGGAAAGUAUAAAUUGGUUAAAAUUUUGAAAAGCAGCUUGGCCUCAUGCAUCAGAGGCUCUUAGAGUACUCAUAUUCUCUCACCAAGUUGUGUAAAUUCUGGAAAUCUAUUCGGAAAUUUUCCUAAAUAUGAAAAAAAAAAAUGACUGGGCAUGGUGGUGUGCACCUGUAGUCCCAACUACUUGGGAGGCUGAGGUAGAAGGAUUGCUUUAGUCCAGGAGCUCUCAGCUGUAGUGCACCAUGCCGGUCAGGUGUCCACACUAAAUUAAGCAUCAAUAUGGUGACCUCCCAGGAGCAGGGGACCACAAGGUUGCCUAAGGAGAGGUGAACCAGCCAAGUCAGAAACAGAGUAGGUCCAAACUACCAUUUUUAGGCCGGGCAUGGUAGCUCAUGCCUGUAAUCCCAGCACUUUGGGAGGCCAAGGUGGGCAGAUCACCUGAGGUCAGGAGUUCAAGACCAGCCUGGCCAAUAUGGCGAAACCCCAUCUCUACUAAAAAUACAAAAACUAGCUGGGUGUGGUGGCAUGCACCUGUAAUCCCAGCUACUCUAGAGGCUGAGAUAGGAGAAUAGCUUGAAACCAGGAGGCAGAGGUUGCAGUGAGUCAAGAUUGGGCCACUGCACUCCAGCCUCAAAGACAGAGCGAGACUCCAUCCCAAAAAAUAAAUAAAUAAAUAAAUAUAAAAAUAAAAUAAAACUCCCAUGCUGAUCAUUAGUGGGAAUCAUGCCUGUGAAUAGCCACUGUACUCCAGGGCAAAAGAGCCAACACCAUUUCUUUUUUUUUUAAAAAAAAAAAAAGAAGGCUGGGCACAGUGGCUCAUGCCUGUAAUCUCAGCACUUUGGGAGGCCAAGGCGGGUGGAUCACCUGAGGUCAGGAGUUCAAGACCAACCUGGCCAAUAUGGUGAAACCCUGUCUCUACUAAAAAUACAAAAAAAUUAUCUGGGAAUGGUGUCACAUGCUUGUAAUCCCAGCUACUUGGGAGGCUGAGGCAGGAGAGUCGCUUGAACAACAAGAGCGAAACUCCAUCUCAAAAAAAAAAAAAAAGAAAGAAGAGAAAUAUAUGUCUAAAUAUGCUUAGAAGAUUCAGUAUUGUUUAAAAUAGCAAAAAGAAAAAAGGAAAUCAUCUGAAUUAUGUUCAAAAAUCAUAGAAUAAUUAAGUUGCAGAAUAUUCACUUGAUGGACUACCCUGCAGCCAUUAAAAUGAUACUUAGAAACUUUUAUAAUUUGGAAAUAUGCUUAUAUUAUAAGCAUGAAUGCAUAACUCAUAUGUAAUUUUGCAUCCUUUUCUUUCUUGCAUUAAAGAAAAUGGCAAAAUACCAAACUGUAUAAAGAUUGUUAAUCUGCAUGUAUAAUAAAAGCAAACAAAAUAAAGAGCUAA
rnacentral:lncRNA from 1 species